AUGCGCCUCCCGCUCCUCCUCCUCGCCCUGCUCGCCGCGGCGGCGUCGGCGCCGGCCGCCGCGGCGACGCUCUCGACGAGGAUGGUGCACCGGCUCUCCGACGAGGCGCGUGUGGCGGCGGGGCCCCACGGGGCGGCGCGGUGGCCGCCGCACGGGAGCGGGGGCUACUACCGCGCGCUGGUGCGGAGCGACCUCCAGCGGCAGAAGCGCAAGCACCAGCUCCUCUCCGUCUCGGAAGCCGGCGGCAUCUUCUCCCCCGGCAACGAUUUCGGCUGGUUGUAUUACACAUGGGUGGAUGUCGGGACGCCGAACACUUCCUUUAUGGUCGCAUUGGAUACUGGAAGUGAUCUGUUCUGGGUACCCUGUGAUUGUAUCGAGUGUGCUCCAUUGGCUGGCUACCGUGAAACUUUGGAUAGAGAUCUCGGGAUUUACAAACCAGCUGAAUCAACAACGAGUCGGCAUUUGCCCUGCAGCCAUGAGCUUUGCUCAUCAGGUUCAGGCUGUUCAAGCCCAAAGCAGCCUUGCCCAUACAGCACUGACUAUCUUCAAGAAAACACAACCAGCUCAGGUUUACUAAUUGAGGAUGUUCUACACUUGAACUCCAGAGAGAGCCAUGCACCAGUGAAGGCUUCAGUCAUUAUAGGUUGUGGUAGGAAGCAAAGUGGUAGCUAUUUGGAUGGUAUUGCACCAGAUGGACUUCUUGGCCUUGGGAUGGCAGAUAUCUCAGUUCCUAGCUUCCUUGCAAGAGCUGGAUUAGUUCGAAAUUCCUUUUCGAUGUGUUUCAAGGAAUAUUCUGGGAGAAUUUUCUUUGGUGAUCAAGGAGUGUCUACCCAACAGUCGACGCCAUUUGUUCCUUUAUAUGGCAAAUUUCAAACUUAUGCUGUUAAUGUCGACAAAUCUUGUGUUGGCCACAAAUGUUUUGAGGGUACUAACUUCGAGGCCAUAGUUGAUAGUGGAACAUCAUUCACAGCUCUUCCCCUGAAUGUUUACAAGGCUGUCACUGUCGAGUUUGACAAACAAGUUAAUGCCUCAAGAAUAACCCAGGAAGAUGAUUCUUUUGAAUACUGCUACAGUGCCAGUCCUCUGGAGAUGCCUGACGUGCCAACUGUAACUCUUAAUUUAUCUGCAAACAAGAGCUUUCAGGUCGUUAAUCCUACAAUUGUACGCAAGAACGGAGAGGGAUCGAUUGCUGGCUUUUGCUUAGCUGUUCAGAAGUCACCAGAGCCUAUUGGAAUCAUUGGACAGAACUUCCUGACUGGAUACCACAUUGUUUUUGACAAAGAGAACAUGAAGCUGGGCUGGUACCGGUCUGAGUGCCAUGAUCUUGACAACAGCACGACGGUGCCCUUGGGCCCGUCGCAGCACCACAGCCCGGGGGAUCCGCUGCCGUCGAGCGAGCAGCAGACCUCUCCCACCGUGACGCCUCCUGCCGUCGCAGGCAAGGCGCCGACCUCCUCGAGCGGGCCGUCGAACUUACAUAAGCUACUCGCCAACUGUUGCUGGCUGCUGUUUCUGACCAUCUCCACCGUGUUCUUCAUCUCAUGA
rnacentral:rRNA from 1 species